GACGAACGCUGGCGGCGUGCUUAACACAUGCAAGUCGAACGGAAAGGCCCUGCUUUUGUGGGGUGCUCGAGUGGCGAACGGGUGAGUAACACGUGAGUAACCUGCCCCUGACUUUGGGAUAACUUCAGGAAACUGGGGCUAAUACCGGAUAGGAGCUCCUGCUGCAUGGUGGGGGUUGGAAAGUUUCGGCGGUUGGGGAUGGACUCGCGGCUUAUCAGCUUGUUGGUGGGGUAGUGGCUUACCAAGGCUUUGACGGGUAGCCGGCCUGCGAGGGUGACCGGCCACAUUGGGCCUGAGAUACGGCCCAGACUCCUACGGGACGCAGCAGUGGGGAAUAUUGCACAAUGGGCGGAAGCCUGAUGCAGCAACGCCGCGUGCGGGAUGACGGCCUUCGGGUUGUAAACCGCUUUCGCCUGUGACGAAGCGUGAGUGACGGUAAUGGGUAAAGAAGCACCGGCUAACUACGUG
rnacentral:rRNA from 1 species